AUAAUAAUUAGUCUUUUAAUUGGGGGCUGGAAUGAAGGAUUAGACAAAAUAAAAACUGUCUUUAGUUAAUUUUAAUUGAAUUUAAUUUUUAAGUUAAAAAGCUUAAAUUUUAUUAAAGGACGAGAAGACCCUAUAGAGUUUUAUAUUUAUUAUAAUUUAGAUUUUUAAUUUAUUUUUAAAUUAUUAUAAAUAUUUUAUUGGGGUGAUAGAUAAAUUUAAUUAACUUUUUUAUUUAUAUUUACAUUAAUUAAUGAAAUUUUGAUCCUAAUUUUUUUAGAUUAUUAGAUUAAAUUACCUUAGGGAUAACAGCAUAAUUUUUUUUAAAAGUUCUUAUUGAUUAAAAAGAUUGC
rnacentral:rRNA from 1 species